rnacentral:rRNA from 1 species
GAUGAACGCUGACAGAAUGCUUAACACAUGCAAGUCAACUGUGGCGGACGGGUGAGUAACGCGUAAAGAACUUGCCUCACAGAUAGGGACAACAUUUGGAAACGAAUGCUAAUACCUGAAACUGUGAGAGAGCUUUGCGUCCCAUUAGCUAGUUGGGGAGGUAACGGCUCAGCAAGGCGAUGAUGGGUAGCCGGCCUGAGAGGGUGAGCGGCCACAAGGGGACUGGGGCACGAGCCUUACUCCGACGGGAGGCAGCGGGGGGGAAUAGUGGACAAUGGACCGAAGUCUGAUCCAGCAAUUCGGUGUGCACGAUGAAGUUUUCGGAAUGUAAAGUGCUUUCAGUUGGGAAGCGGUACCGACAGAAGAAGUGACGGCUAAAUACGUGCCAGCAGCCGCGGUAAUAC